CUUCAAUCUUGAAUUUAUUUUUUAUGUUUUUUAAAUGUUCAUUUUUUUGAAUGUUUGAUUUUAAAAAAAUAUAAAAAAUAAAAUAGAUAUUGACAUGGAUUAAACAAAGAUAUAUAUUAUUCUAUGUUGCAUAAACAAAUUGGCAAAGUAGAGAUGGAAGAUAAAAAUAUGGUCAAAGUAAUAAGAGUCUAUGGUGAAUGCCUAGGAA
rnacentral:misc_RNA from 1 species